rnacentral:rRNA from 1 species
GAUGAACGCUGGCGGCGUGCCUAAUACAUGCAAGUCGAGCGAACAGAUGAGGAGCUUGCUCCUCUGACGUUAGCGGCGGACGGGUGAGUAACACGUGGAUAACCUACCUAUAAGACUGGGAUAACUUCGGGAAACCGGAGCUAAUACCGGAUAAUAUAUUGAACCGCAUGGUUCAAUAGUGAAAGACGGUUUUGCUGUCACUUAUAGAUGGAUCCGCGCCGCAUUAGCUAGUUGGUAAGGUAACGGCUUACCAAGGCAACGAUGCGUAGCCAACCUGAGAGGGUGAUCGGCCACACUGGAACUGAGACACGGUCCAGACUCCUACGGGAGGCAGCAGUAGGGAAUCUUCCGCAAUGGGCGAAAGCCUGACGGAGCAACGCCGCGUGAGUGAUGAAGGUCUUCGGAUCGUAAAACUCUGUUAUUAGGGAAGAACAAAUGUGUAAGUAACUAUGCACGUCUUGACGGUACCUAAUCAGAAAGCCACGGCUAACUACGUG